AUACUCUGGUUUCUCUUCAGAUCGUAUAAAUCUUUCGCCUUUUACUAAAGAUUUCCGUGGAGAGGAACAUUUAUGAGUUUUCAUGAAUGGCAGAAAGGUAUUAAUAAAUUUAUCU